AUUUGUCUGGUUAAUUCCGAUAACGAACGAGACCUUAACCUGCUAACUAGAUACUUUUAUUCUAUAAAUGUCAUCUUCUUAGAAGGACUAUGUAAUCUAAAUACAUGGAAGUUUGAGGCAAUAACAGGUCCGUGAUGCCCUUAUAUGUCCUGGGCUGCACGCGUGCUACACUGAUGCAUACAACAAGUGCCUAACCAGACAUGGUACGGCAAUCUCGAAUAUGCAUCGUGAUGGGGAUAGAUCUUUGCAAUUAUAGACCUUGAACGAGGAAUUCCUAGUAAGUGCAAGUCAUCAUCUUGCAUUGAUUAUGUCCCUGCCCUUUGUACACACCGCCCGUCGCUCCUACCGAUACCGGGUGAUCCGGUGAACCUUUUGGACUCAUUGAGAAAGAUAAGUAAACCAUAUCACCUAGAGGAAGGAGAAGUCGUAACAAGGUUUCCGUAGGUGAACCUGCRGAAGGAUCA
rnacentral:rRNA from 1 species